CCCGCCGGGGUCUGGACCUCCUUGCUUUCCUGGCCGUUCUCUACCCUUCCUCCCCUGGCUUUGCUUACCCUUCGGUAUGGACCCUCCCCCAGCACACAUUGGGUCCUCGAGAAAAGAGCUAAAGUGACGCACAACGAAACGGAAGCACACUUGCAGAAAAAGUGCCACCGCCCCGGGUUUUGAUAGUUAGAGUAGUUAGAGGGCGGCGUGCUUCCAACAGGAGCGGCUUCGGGCUUCACUGGCUUCACAGCACAGCUCUGCUGCUGGUGCCGGUCUUUCCUGAGAGCGGCUCCCCCGGCUAUUUUAAUCACAGCAUGCAUCUCAUCGUGGAACCAGACGCCUCCUGAGCCCACGGACGGAGGGGUCGGGUUUGCCGCGUGCCCAGCUCGGUGUGGUAGGCACGGCGCACGCUGUGAACCCCUGCAGAGCAAGCAGCAGGCUUGGAACGCAGCUCUCUGCUUGGCCACCCGCUGGGUGACCUCGGGGCCUUCACACCCUGCACCUAAGGCACAGUUCUUCCUGUAACAAAUACAUGCGAUUCUGCCCGCGUGGCAGGGUCGUGUGAGGUUAAACGAAGUCGGUGUGGCCCACGCAUGGAUGCUGUUCAGUUCCCUUUUCCGCUGUGCGCCCCACCCGCCCACAGAAGCCAGGGAUCCUCUCGAGGAGGAGGAGCUGGUGGCCCGGGAGAGGUGUGACGGGAGGAGGGCCCUGAGUCCUGGCUCCUCCUUUUCCACACCCCCCAGGAAGCUGAAGGAGCAACCACCCUCUAAGCGCCAGGCACUGUCCGGGAUGCAAGAAGUGACUCUGGUGACGGAGACCCUGGAGAGGGAUCAGCGGGAAACCCUGAAGGAAGGCCGCGGUCUGACAUCCGGAGCCGGUUCUUUGGAUGCCUUUUCAGCUGCAAACGGAAGGAAGGUCCUCGAGUUUGGAGGUUUCCAGAAGCGUGAAGGAGAAGGUGCAGGACACGGUGAGAAGCCUCCGGGGCCUGAAUAAGCAGAGAAAAGGUGCUCUGAGCUUCCUCAUCCAGUGACUUCACAGGGAGCAGGACCUGCAAGACCUACAGCGGUGUUUGACGUCCUGAUCUUUGGAGAGCUGCGGCAGGAGGAUCUGGCUCUCCAAAGCUGGGAGCCUGGUAGAAGCGCUUGCCAACACCAUUGUGGAGUUCGUGGACCCCUUGAUAGGUGAGGGAGGAUCCGGCUGGAUUCGGAGGUGGAGGAACUGCUGCUCAGGGAGGCCUGGGGAUCACAUCUUGGGGUGGAGACCAUCCUGGAGGAGAAGUGGGGUGUCCAGGCCAGCAAUCCCCAGGACCCAGACUGUGACCCCGAGGCGCAGGCCAUCUUUAUCCUCUAUCUUGCUGUCUCCAUACUGCUGCAGCUGAGCGAGCAGCCCACCACUUCUUUUUUUUUUUUUUUUUUUUUACCGGGGAUCGAACGCGGGACCUUGCGCUUGCGAAGCAGGCGCCGGAACCACUGAGCUAAAUCCCCGGCCUAGCCCACCACUUCUUAAGAGCUACUUCCCCACCUCCCGAGCCCACCCUCAAGCGGCCACCACGGCCACCACCGCCAUCAUCCUGUCACCAGAGGGACCUCAUCAGAACUCGCAGAUGGCUUUCUUCCAGGCACCCCUUCCCUGCGUGUUAAUAUCCCCAACCAGCCUGGAUUGUAUGCAUGGAUUUCUGGUUAAAACUGGCAGAUUGAUUUAUUAAUUUCUCUCCCUUGAAACCUCAUUAAAUGACAGUAGAGCAAUUGGGAAGGUAUAAGCCCUCCAGGAUAAAAAGGGAGUUGAAGUCGGGGAAUUUAACACAUCUUUAGAAGCUAGAAAGCAGGGGCCUGAGGGGCGCGCGCGCGCGUGUGUGUGUAUGUAUGCUGAUUUCAUCAGAAGUCUUUAGUUCUAUUUUAUAUUCUCAAAGAAAAUGUAAUUAGAAGUUAAAGAAAUAAUGUUGGGUACACAGCAUUUCAAACAUGUCUCCAAUACUAAGUAGAAGGUGGAGCUCCUCUGCAUCUCUCUUCCUUCGGAGACCAGAGGUAGCUGACGUCUGAAGCUAAGGUGACUUGUGCCAGGUAACAGACUGCUGUUUACAGAUCCAGGCACUGGGCUGUGGUUGCCUGGCCUGUGGAACCCAAGCCCAAGGGCCUCCCCGAGUGGGUUCCACUGGAAUCUCAAGGGUGCGCCUUCGUAGUAAAGGUGACUCAGCAGUAGAUCCAUGGCUCUUACCCCACCUCGGGGGAAUGCAGCCAAGACUUUUGGGUACUGAAUGAAGAAGAGGUUAUAAAAGAAAAGGGAAAGCCAGGGAUUUAGCUCAGUGGUUCUGCCACCUGCCUCGCAAGUGCAAGGUCCCGAGUUCGAUCCCGGGUACCAAAAAAAAAAGGGAAAAAAGUAUUCUGAGAGGUUGAGAUCAGAGGCACCUUGCUAAAGAACUCAGGCUCCCUGGCAGUGGACUUGGUUGGGGAGGUCUUGGGCCGAUCACAUGCUCAGGCACCCGUCAGAAUCACACUUGACCUUCAUUCCCAUAAAUGAUCAUCUCAGGCCAAUGAGUGCUUCCCAGGAAACUACCAACAACAAAGAAUCCAAGGAAGUAAAACCAUGAGCAAGAAUGAGCAAAAAUACAGGACAGCACAGCAGAAAGGUAAGAAAACAUCAAAUAAAUAAAUAAAUAAAAUAAAAUACUGGAAUUCCUAAACAAGGUUAUGAAAACAUAAUGAUGCUUAAAUUUGAAGAUGAGUCUGAGUGUGGUGGUGCAGACCUGUAAUCCCAGGACUCAGGAGGCUGAGGGAGGAGGGUUGCCAAGAGUUUGAGGCCAGCCUGAACUGCAUAGUAGGACCCUGUCGCAAAAAACCAAAAAAGUUCAAUCAAGGUUCCAAGAGCAGAAGACAAUGAGAUUCAGGCAGAGGCAAUGCUUGAUGAGACAGUGGUUGAGAAUUUUGCCGAAUUAAAGAUAAUCAUAGUUUUAGGAAAUGCAGUGAAUCCCUAGCAAGAUUUAUAACACAUUCACAUCUAGAAGAAUCAUAGUAAAAUGGAAGAAUAGCAACAAAGACAAAAAUUUUAAAACUAGUCGGAGAAGAAGACAACUGACCUUCAAGGAAGUUACAGACUGAAAACUCAGUGAGGAGCCGUUGAUGAUGAAAUUAUACCUGUGUGUGUUGAAAGGAAAGCACUGCUGAUUAAAUUUUUAUAAUCAGCAAAACUGUCUUUAAUGUAGCGGGGGGGGAUGGGAGAAAAUAGAAUUUAUUUUAAAAAAAACUACCAAAAAAAGUUAAUAUUGCAAUAUAUCAAAAAUUAUUUGGGAAGGGGCCGGGGAUUUAGCUCAGUGGUUCUGCUGCCUCCCUCGAAAGUGCAUGGAUCUGAGUUCCAUCCCUGGUACCAAAAAAACAAACAAACAAAAUAAAGGUAAAAUUAUUUUUAGAUAAGAAUGAAGAGCCUUUUUCCCUAGUAGGUCCUUAUUAAAGAAAAGUCAGGUAAAAGGAGAGACCUCAAAUAGAUUUGAAGCUGGGUGUGGUAGUAUACUCAGGAGGCUGAAGCAGGAAGAUCCCUGCGAGUUUGAGGGUCGCCUGGGCUGCAUAGUUCAAGGCCAGCCUGACAUAUGUGGAGACCCUAACUAACCACCCCCCCCAAAAAACCCCAAACCAAUAAAAGGUAAAUAAAGAGUUAAAUCUAAAUAAGCAGUAAUUGCCAGAGCCUGGUAUGGUGGUGCACACCUGUGAUCCUAGCACUGGGGAGGCUGAGUCAGGGGGAUCACAAGUUCAGGCCCAACCUGGGCCACUUAGCAACUUAGAGAGACCCCCCCCCCAAACAAAAGAGAAGCUGGGGUGUUUCUCGGAGAGAAGGCCUUGGGUGCAGUCCCCAGUAACACACACACACACACACACACACACGCACGCAUGCACGGACGGUGAUGCACGCCUGUAAUUCCAGCACUUAGGCUGAGGCGUGAGGAUAGCUAGUUCAAGUCCCACCUAUGCAGAUUAGUGAGACUCUGUCUCAUAAUAAAAACUAAAAAAGGGCUGGGGAUGUAGCUCAGUGGUAGAGCACCCUUAGAUUUAGUCCCUAUGUAAACUUAUCAAAAUGGCAUCCUAUGGGGUAAACAUAACAACUGUAACUAAUAUAAGCCGGGGACUGUGGCGUACAAUCCUGGUCCCAGCUGUUUGGCUUGAGCUCCUAUGAGAAUCUAAGACCACAGCUGACCUGACAGGAAGUGGAGCUCCAGUGGUGAUGUGCAGAUGGGGAGCUGCCUAAAAGUUUUCCUCAGUUAAAAAAAAAUAAAAUUAAAAAAAUUUUUUAAAAACAGAAAAAAGAUGAAGAAGAAGAAAAAAAGAGUUUUCCUCAGUAAGAUGUUGUAAGUCCCAAACUGGAAACAACUCAAAUAUUCACUAACAGGAUGGAUAAAUGUACUAUUGUAUGUUCAUUCAAUGGAAUAUUAUACAGCAGGGAACAGGAACAAGCUGAAGUUAUUCUUUGGGGAGAAUUACAGCACAAAAAGAUAUAUUCAAAAAGAUUCUUUCCACCUAAUGUUAAAAAAAAAAAAAGAAAGAAAACUAUUGCUUAGGAAGCCACACUUUGGUGGUAAAAUUCCAAGAAAAGUAAGGCAGUCCUUAUUAGAAAAACAUUCUCUUUGGAGGAGCAAUGGUACAAUCAGAAGAGGCCUAUCUGAAUGCAGGGUGUGAAGGACGCGAGCGAUGUUUUAUUUCUCUGGGUGGUAGGUAGUUCAAGUGAGAAUUAUUUGUUAGGCUGUAUUUUUAUGUGAAUAUACUUUUCUUCAACUAUGAUGUGGUUCACAAUAAAUUAAAUAAAAGAGA